rnacentral:rRNA from 1 species
UACGGAGGAUCCGAGCGUUAUCCGGAUUUAUUGGGUUUAAAGGGUGCGCAGGCGGGAGAUUAAGUCGGCGGUGAAAUUUUGCAGCUCAACUGUAAAAGUGCCUUCGAAACUGGUUUCCUUGAGUGUGGAUGAAGUAGGCGGAAUUUGUGGUGUAGCGGUGAAAUGCAUAGAUAUCACGAGGAACUCCGAUUGCGCAGGCAGCUUACUAAACUACUACUGACGCUCAGGCACGAAGGCGUGGGGAUCAAACAGGAUUAGAUACCCCCGUAGUCCCU